AGAUAUCCGCGCGCAUCGUGACUGUUGAUGCAUCUGUCAGUUUUGACAGUUUAUAAGAAAACGUGGGUGAUUCCGGGCCCUACGGAGGAAACUGCUAAAAAUUAAAGUAGGAUAAGACAGUUUAUAUAUAAGUCACAUUAAUAAAUUAAUUCUUAUAAAGAUUAAUAUUACUUCCUUAGUGUAAUAAUUCAUAUAUUAGGCGUCUAUAAGAGAAAUGAAAUAACCGAUUGUUUUGAGGAACGCUGUUAAAACAUUUUCUUUUAUAUGUACGAAUACCCUUUUAAAGCAGCAAUCUACGAAUUUAUCUAAAAAAAAAAAUUAUGAAAAACCUGCUUCAUAAAUUUACAUUUUGGGGAUGGACUAUGAGAGAGAUAUGAGAAUAAUUCAAGGAGUUUGAUCGCUUCAAAUUGUGCAUUAUCCUAUAUUUUUUGUGUGUUUAUUCAUGAACAUUGUAUUGUCAAGAGUCGCUAUAUUGAUCACUUCUAGAUUCCUUAGUAUAAUUAUCAUUUUCCUUCUUGUGCUACUCUCUCUAUUCACAUUUCCUAUGCAAUCACAUGAAUAUCUUAAAAUUUGUAAGUGAGUGAAAAAUAGAAAAUAUCAUAGAUAGUAAUAGAUCAAGCAGUUUCUAUAUCCAUAAUAUUUUGAUGACAAAGAGAAAAAGAGUAUAUAUAAUUUCUCUUUCUUUUUCAUUCACAUGUGCAAUGACAUUCUCUGAAUAAUUAGUUUAUAUAAUUGGAUACUUAUAGCUAUUUUCUUUUUUUAGAGAGAGAUACAAAAAGAUUAUAUAUACAUGCAUAUAUAUCUUUUCUAUUUUUCUACAUCUUGUUCAGAUCUUUUCAUUCAAUCUAUUCUUAUUAUAUAUGUAUGGAAAAUACUAUGCUCUGAAUGCAUAUCUUUUUUUUUUUUCUAUUUAACAUGGUGGCAAAUGUGAGUAGUGGAAAAACAUAGCAAAAAGGGAAAUAACCAUUAGAGAAUCCAAAAGUAAUUAAUACAGAGAUUCUUCUGAUUAUAUUUAUAUAUAUGUAUAUGUGCGUAUAUCGUUAAUACAAAGUUAAUUAGU